GACGAACGCUGGCGGCGUGCCUAAUACAUGCAAGUCGAACGCUGUAGGAGGAGCUUGCUCUUCUGGAUGAGUUGCGAACGGGUGAGUAACGCGUAGGUAACCUGCCUGGUAGCGGGGGAUAACUAUUGGAAACGAUAGCUAAUACCGCAUAAGAGUAGAUGUUGCAUGACAUUUACUUAAAAGGUGCAAUUGCAUCACUACCAGAUGGACCUGCGUUGUAUUAGCUAGUUGGUGGGGUAACGGCUUACCAAGGCGACGAUACAUAGCCGACCUGAGAGGGUGAUCGGCCACACUGGGACUGAGACACGGCCCAGACUCCUACGGGAGGCAGCAGUAGGGAAUCUUCGGCAAUGGACGGAAGUCUGACCGAGCAACGCCGCGUGAGUGAAGAAGGUUUUCGGAUCGUAAAGCUCUGUUGUAAGAGAAGAACGAGUGUGAGAGUGGAAAGUUCACACUGUGACGGUAUCUUACCAGAAAGGGACGGCUAACUACGUG
rnacentral:rRNA from 1 species